AGAUGCAACUCUUCUUAAUAGUUAUAUAUAUAAAAGUGAUGCAACUAUUGGUCAAAAGGUGUCAUGACUUUAUAAAUAGCCAAGCUUUUAUCUUCAUUAGAGGUAGAAGAAAUAGAAGAAAAAGAAGAAAAUCACAUAUAGAAGUGUGAAGAGUGUGAAGUGUGUGCAUUGAGUGGUAGUGAAUUGGCUUAGCAUCUUUAAAAGAUUUUCACUUGAUUCAUUUGUAAAGCAUUGAUUAUUCUGCGAAUAAG
rnacentral:misc_RNA from 1 species